rnacentral:lncRNA from 1 species
AUUACACUCUGUCCUCAGAAGGAAGAGACUGCCAGGUUCCCCUUACCUGGCACCAGAAGGCCCCAAUAGACUCCACUGUCUACACGGAUGUUUGAGGCCAGCAACCAGUCUGCAGUGAGGUCACAGUGGACUUCUGAGUUGUGGGUUACCAAGGAGGACUACUCAUUGGCCAGGGAGAGAGUUCAGACUUCCAACAGGGCUGCUUGCAGGCUUCUCGCCUCCCAAGAGUCCCUCAGCCCAUGGAGCAGGUUGGUCAGUGGCCAGGCACAUGGGGACAGGUCCACUGACAGGACUGCACAGGAGAACACAGCCAUGGAUAUGGGGAUGAGCUGAAUGGGAACACAUCCUUCUGUACGUUUUACCUUUGCAAAGGAAAAAAAAAAUAAAAGAGCCACGUUCUGAUCCUUUCAACCUAUGAAAGUUUCCUUAUAUGGCAAAAUGGAUUUGGCAAAUGGGAUUAAAUUAAAGAUUCUGAGAUGAGAGGAUUAUCCUGGAUUAUCCUAAGUAUAAUCACAAGUGUCCUUAGAAGAGGGAGGUAGAGGGAGAUUUGACUACAGAGAGAGGAGGAAAUGCAAAGGGCCCACAAAGGCAGAGGCUGAGAUGAUGUGGCUACAAGCCAAGGACUACUGGCAGCCACCAGAGCUGGGGACAAUUAGUCCCUGCAGCUUCCAGGAGAAACCACCCCUGCCUGCAACUUGAUUUAGGGCCCAGAGGUCUUAUUUCAGACUUCUGGCCUCCAGAAUUAUAAGAGAAGAAAUCUAUG